rnacentral:lncRNA from 1 species
GAGGAGGGGCAUUUCCUAAUCUCAAUAUCUUUUAGACCAACUGACCCUUCAACUAAAUUAAUAGUACUUGGCCGAGGACAUUUUAGACCCCCACAGUCGAUUAGCCUCAAAGAGGUCAGACACAGAGAAUUGUUCUUUAACAUCUCCUCAAUUAUAAAGUCCAUAUUUGAACAAGAAGAGGAAGAAUAUAAUGAUGAAUCUCCUCCAUUUCUGAUAUUGAGAAGUUCUAGAUGCUUGAGAGAAGUAACCUUUUUGCUCAUUGUUUCCAGUAUCACGCUGCUGUCCAAAUCAGUGAUUUUGAGCUCCUUCAAGGACGGAAAACAACUAUUUGGAAUCUUUCUUAACCUUGGACAAUACGUAAUUUCCAAACUCUCAAGUUUAGGAAAUACACUUUGGUCAUUACUCCCUGUGCUCAUUGCUUCUUCUGCCCAUUCUUCUAGCUUUUCCAGCCUAUACAAAGUGAUAGUCAUGAGCGACGGAUACAUAGUUGUCACUGUCUUCGUGGCUGCACUGUCUAGACCUUCCAAUUAAUCAUUCCCCAUGACCUUCAAAUUUUCCAUCCCCUGUAAAUUUAUCUUUUUUAGUUUGGGAAGCUGACCCAGUGAUGGAAAUUCUGUGCAUCUGUUGCACCAACCAACAAGAUUUUCACCAAGUUGUUCAUCAUUGUGAUCCAAGAUGAAAACUUUUCCCAUAUAGCAGUAAAUAAUCAAUUCUUUCAGAUUUGGGUGAGGUUCCAAUCCUUUCAUCACACCAUCAUCUUUGUGUUCUCCGUCUCCCCUGAAAAUACCAAUAAUAUUUUUGUUCCAGUUUAGAACUAAAACCUCAAUAUCAGACUUUUCACGAAGCUUUGCCCUGCUUGCUUCUUCCAUAUUUGCCACGUCGCCAAGGCCAUGGAGUUAAAGCUCACCUCUAAGGUUUUUUAGUCCUCCCAAAUGUUCAACAAGACAUCCAAAUUCAACUCAUGUAGUUCUUUUGAAUCAUCCGGGACAACCACAUUCCAUUUUCUAAUAGUGGCUAUAAGAACUCUAGCCAUCUUGGUCAAUGGGCUUCCAGAUGCAGGUUGGUGCCUAUAAUAACGCGAGCCUGCUAGAAACACCAAUAUUGAUAAAAAGAGUCCGAUUGUUGGAAGACCAUAUCCAAGUCCCCAGCCGGCAUGAUCUUGUAUGUAGACUAGGAAAGUGCUGGCAAAAAGUGUGCCGAAGAAGAUACUGAAGACCCACCACUUAAAGAAUGAUAUCUUCUGGGUUUUUUCUGUUGGCUCAAAUUCAUCAAACUGAUCUGCACCCAUUGUUGAGAUGUUGGGCUUUGUCCCUCCAGUUCCGAGUGCAAUUAUGUACAAUGCACAAUAGAAGAUACCCACUUGAAAAGGUGAAGCUUGCUUGUCACAGUCCAUGUCUUUUAUACUGUCACCGCAUGAUGGUGGCCGGAGAGAUUUUAAUGAAACUACUAGUGUCAGCGAGGACAUGCCCUGUUACACAACAAAUAUUUGAGCCCAAGCAAAGCAAUCAAAACAUAUAGUCAAGCACACAUAUAUAUGUGAAACUCGCAAACAAUUUUAUGUUUUCAUAUACCCCAAGAUAGAUGAAGGCUGAAAUGAUGAAAGUCCAGUAACGGCCAAGAUGAGCAUCCGCAAAGUAGGCACCUAAAAUGGGUGUCAGCCAGACAGUGCCAACCCAGUUGGUGAAAUUUUUUGAAGAUUUCACAGUUCCUUCAUGUAGUUUUCUUGUGAGAUACAACACUAGAUUUGUUGAUAUUCCAUAAAACGCCAUCCUCUCAAAUGCUUCAUACCCUUCAAAAUCAUUCAUUAUACGCAAUAAAUUAGAAAAUCAAACCAAAACUUAUUUUCUUCACCUUAAUACAAAAUAGUACAUGAGUUGCAUGUGGUAAAUCUUCCCUAGGAUGAUAUCGGAAAUAUCAAAAGAAGCAAUAGAAUCUUGUUGACAUACCUACAAUGAAGGAGGUUGCUCUCCAUCUCCCUGUGUUUGAUCUUAAAACAGGAUUACCCUUAAGGUCAACUGUUCCAUCUUUAGUGUACUCAACCCCUCUCAUCUUGCCAUUCUCUUCGACUACUCUUUCCAUUGUCAUUGUCAUCUCUUGUGUUUGAUAUUAACACAGUUGUACGUGCAGCUCGAGUUUAUACUAGACAACCUCUGUCUACCUACAUAUAUAGUUAGCUGCAAAUGAAAUGGUGGAUAAUAAUUCUAUCACUAACACUGAAGUCAGUUCUUAUAUCUGAAACUCAACCUUUUUCUUAUCUGAAAUAUUGGUAAACGAACAAAUGAAUAUAGCCGCCACUUCUUAGUUUUUUCGAGUAAUAUUAGAUUAUUAGUUAGCAUCAAAAUGUUCAAGUAUGAAGAAUAUCUGGGACAAGACGGCUACAAACGUUAAUUAGCCGACUGAUCCCCGCAUAAGUGACAAAUAUUCAUGUCUAUAUAGGUAACUAUGUGAAAGCUUUGUAGCCGACCUCAUCACAGGAUCAAUAAGUACAUUGCUCACUUGUUGUUUCUUCACUCUUUUCUUUUGCCGACUUGAUAAUGGAACUUAUCAGUAUAUCGCUCACUUAUUAUCUUUCUUCGCUAAGCAACUAAAUAUUUGGCGAACCUUGAUCUGUUCUGUUUCCUCUCUGUUCACACAUUAAACCUUAAUCAUCAAACAAAAAUAUUCAUUGUUAAUGUAGAUUAUUGACUGGUGUAGGCAAACACAUCCUUAAUCAUUGUUAUUUGAUUUAAGAUCUUCAUAAAAUUUGAAUCAUAUAUUAAUUACAGUGAUCCUCAGCCUCUCUGGGAACAUAUCUUUUAUAGCUUCUCUAUUGUAAACCAUACGAGCAAGAGUUGUCUUGCCUUCAUGACCUCCCAUCCCUACUACACCAAUUACAGGUAAAACCUCUUCACGACUUUUGCAUUAAACUCCAGUAGUAUAAGGUCAGUGGCGAAUUUUAAUAUUUAUCAUGCAAUAUGCAUAAAUUAAUAUGGAACGAGGUGAGCAAAGUGCGUACUCAUUGUUCAUCGGUGCUAGUCAAAAAGGGCAUUACAUUAAAUCACUUACAAAAUUAAGAUUUAAGAAUGUAGAGAGUGUUGAACUUUUCUGGGCCACUUUCCUGCAAUAUCUUUGGAUCAUUAGUGAUGACGAAACCCUUUGAUCCACGACUCAUUAUCCCUGAACAGAUUCAAAAAUUUCAGUGAAGCAGUAAAACUGGAGACAGAGAUAAGUUAGUAACAGAAAGUGAUAUGUUUACCAUUUGAUACCCGGAAUAUGUUGAAUCUUGAACCAUUCUGGCCCACUCUCUUUUCCACAUCUUUCUUUCAGAAUUGGACACCCACUUAUCUCUAGAUAUUCCAGGCAAUGAGAUUCAUCAAACAGUAACACUCUCUCCAAAUCCUUACAACUGUGAAUACGUAACUCGUUGAGACAUGGAAGCUUUUCUAUUGACAGGACAAGAGCUUUCAUACCUCCGAAAUUAGAUAUAGAUAGUUUAGUCAAGGCGGGGAAGGUGGAGAACUGAAGUUUCUCAAAGAGCGCUAUUGAAUUUACCUUUUCCCGCCCUCGCAGAGACAGCAAAACUAGGUUAGGGAAUGAAUUUAGUGAAGAAGAAAAUGGCCAUGGAAAUUCAUCUGAGAAGGGACCUAAGCGUAAAAAUCUAAGUGCGGAACUCUGAAUUUGGGCAGAUAUUCCAUCUAGAAGAGACGAGGGGAGCCCCCCUAGUGAGAGAGAUUUUAGACCAGCUAAUCCUUCAACUAAAUUAAAACUUACCAGAUUCGGGCAAUCAUACACAGACAAGCUGUCAAGAGAGACACCAAGGGUGAGAUGCUGCAAAUCCUUGCAGUCAAGUAGGUCUAAUGAGGUCAGAGAAAGAGAAUUAUUUUUUAAUAGCACUUUGAGUAUUGAAUCCAAGUUUGAACAAGAAGAAGAGGAUGAUGAAUCUCCUCCUCCGUCGCUGAUAUUCCGCAGUUGUAAAGUGGUGAGUGAGCUAACAUGCAUAUACAUAGUUUCUAGUAUCAGGUUGCUCUCCGAAUAUGUAAUACUCAAAUCUUUCAAGGACGGAAAACAGCUAUUCAAGAUCUUUCUCAACCUUGGACAAUAAAAGAUUUCCAACCUCUCAAGUUUAGGAAAUACAAUUUGGUCUUUACCCCCUUUACUCAAAAAGUCUUCCACCCAUUCUUCUAGCUUUGGCAAUCUCCGUAAAAUGAGUGUUGUCAUUGACGGAUACAGUGCUGCUGUGACUGCUUUUUGGGCCAGACUUUGGCCUCCACAUAAAUCAUUUCCGAUAACCUUGACAUUUUCCAUCCGGUCUAUAGAUAUCUCUCUCAGUUUAGGAAGGUGACCCAGUGGGGGAAAUCCUUCGCACCUGCUGCAAUAUUUCACGGCGAUUUUCACCAUGUUGGUCAUCGUUGGGAUCCAUGACGCAAAUUUCUUUCCCAUAAAGUCUUCAAUUUCCAAUGCUUUCAGAUUCGGGUGAGGUUCUAAUCCUUCCAACACACCCUCAUCAUUGAAUACUCCUUCUUCCCUAUCAUCUUCAUUGUUCGUCCACUUCAACAGUAAAUGUCGAAUAUUGGACUUUUCACACAGCUUUGCUUUACGUGCUUCUUCAAUAUUCUCCACGUCAUUAAGGCCAUAAAGGCUAAGCGUACCUCUAAGAUUUUUUAACAUUCCUAGUUGUCCAACGAGACAAUUUUGAUUUUUCUUCACAACAAAAUGAGGCAGCGUUUGCAAACAAGUUAACCUCUCAAUCCCAACAAACAUGUAACUAAUUUCAGGAUAGCCAAUAACAAGAUGUCUCAAGUUUGUAAGUUGGCAGAUGUUUUCUGGAAGCUCACGAUCCUGUGAAAUUCUUAGAGUCUGCAAGUUGUAGAGUCUUGUAAUGUGAUUCGGCAGUUUAUAGAUAGUAUCGACAUCUAUCCGCAGGAGAUCUAAAUGCUUAAGGUAUUUCAAAUUCCCAAUUGAACCAGGCACCUCAUUACAAAAUGAUUCUAAAACCAAAACUCUCAAGUACUUGAGUUUGGGUAACACAAAGUUAAAUAUAGUGAUCUCUGUAUAUAGUGCUUGUACUGUAUCAAAGCGUAGCUUAAACAUACUUCGUUUUACAUCUUUGAAUCCUUCCAGCCUUACAUAUGUAGCCUUUGAUCCCUUGUCAACAUCACGACUUGGAUUUACAGUAGUAGAAUAAUUACUUGACACAUCUAGUGCAAGAUCAUGCACAAGAUCAUGCAUCUUGCACUUGGUAAUAUAUCCGUAUUCAUCCUUUUCCACAUCUUGUAACAAAGAAUUUCCCAACAGGAUGUCAAAGUAAUCGUUUCCAAUGUCUUCCAUCAAAACAGUCCUAUCCCCCGGAAGGAAUCCCAAUGCCAUCCAUAUUUGUAUCAAUUCAUCUUUAUAAAUGUCAUGAUCCUUUGGCAUAAUGGAACAAUAUGCAAAACAUCGCUUCAAAGAAGAGUAAGGUAGAUUAUCAUAUGACAGCCUCAAGGAAGACAGUACACCUUUCGAUUUCCAUAUUUCACUGUUUUGGAUUAGCAACCACUCUUCUUCGGUCUUCUUUGAGUACAAUAAACUCCCUAGUGUUUUAAUUGCCAGAGGCAGACCUCCACAUCUUUCUACCAUUCGUUUACCCAAGGCCACAAAUGCCUCAGUCUCUAAAACUCCUCCAUUCGAAAAUGCUUUUUGCUUAAACAAUUCCCAACUAUCUUCCACUGUUAGUUUUGUCACCAGAUAAGGAUCAGAACACUGCAUAGCAUCAGUCACUUCCUGCUUACGAGUGGUAACAAAAAUUUUGCUGCCUCUGGCACCCCGAAUACCAAGCAAAGAAUUCCUCAACUUGUCCCAUUCUUCUGGUUUCUCAUUCCAAACAUCAUCUAGCACAAGUAAAAACUUUUCGCCCCUCAGCUUUUCUUGAAGAUUUUUUAUCAGACCUUCUGCAUUAUCCAGUACAGAAGGCCUCGAAGUGAGUGACACUACCAAUUGAUUCAAAAUCAUAAUGAAAUCAAAAUCAUCUGAUACAGUGACCCACAUCCUCUUCGGAAACAUGUUGAUCACAGCAUCUCUAUUGUAAACCAUGCGGGCAAGAGUUGUUUUGCCUUGACCACCCAUCCCGAGUAUUGCAUUCACUUGUAAAGCCUCAUCAUUUGGGUUGCACACCAUGUUAACUAGAAAUGAUAUGUCAUCAUCUCUUCCGACAAUCAGUGACUCGUCUUCAAAGGGUUGGGUGUAGCGUAUCUCACUGUGUUGCACAGUAGAUAUCAAAUGCUCUACUGGCUUAAGUCCAAUAUCAGUAGCCCAUUUACAAAUCUUGUCAAAGGAAUUAUUGAUAUUCUUGAUCUUAUGAGCCACUUUGGAACGAUAUAAUAAGGUGUUUUUAGAAGGAACAAAGAAGUCUCUUACCUUAUGACGAUUCUCCAGUUUUCUUCGAGUAACUUCAUACUCGAGUUCAUCCAUAAAAGCUUCAGCUGCCUGAGCCACAUCUUCAAGUUUGUUGAACCAAAUUCUGGCAGUAGACAUGAUUAAAUUCUUGGUUUGAGCAUCGUGCAAGAGAGCACCGAUUAGUUCAAAUCUCUCACGCAGUGUCUCCAAAUCUUCGUGAAGUUUCCAGACCUGAAUCACUUCAUCAGUUGCAAGUGAAACUAGCUUUCGGGCCAGACCAGCAGCAAGAUCGACUACAAUUGCUUCAGCCAUCUUUCUUGCUAACUUCUUCAGGUUACAAUCUUGAUGAUUUCAAGGACUAUCCCUUGAGAUCUAUUUGAGUCUGGUCAAGUCUGAGGAGCCAAAAAUUACAUAUGAUAAUGAGCCACUAACAUGAUGGGGCCAUUUUGUGCAAUAAUUUUCGUUUUCAAAUUUGUUGUUUUCUUCUUCAAUACUUUAUUUCCGCACCUAUAUGUUUCAAGUUUCAACACGCGGUAACAUUCAGUAAAUUAAUAGUAUACACUAAUAACGAAGACCGGAAAUAUUUAUAGAAACUGAAAAAGACUAAUGAAAGUCAGCACCGUGGUGAGCUUUAUGCAAUAGGAAUCUGGAAACAUAGUAUGAUGCUUGUCAAAACGUCAAAAAACCUCAACUAUGUAACAAGGUUUCAUUCAGUGUUUAGAUUAUGCAAUCCAGAACGAGCCGCUAAAGGAUGUACUAAUACAUUUCAAAUAUGGUGUAUGGGUGCCCAUUUAUUGUGCAGAUAAACCCUGACUAGAAAAAAACAAGAAUUCAAGCCCAGUUGUAGAAUGGCGACAAAGUGAGAAAUGGGUUAAAGACUGACCGCUUUUCCCCUUGAUGCUCCAUUGCCAAUCCAGUCCCAGUUCCAGUUUACAGAGCUGGCGGUGUUAGAUUUCCCCAAACUAAAGGCUGUAGAUUGCUCGGGGAUUUAAACCUUAAUUUUUUUUGGGAUAAAUAUGAAGGUCUCGUUUCGUCCAAAUUAAAUCACUAAUUCUCAAAUUAACUCAAACGAGAAACUCAUUAAAAAAAUUUGUAUAAAAAAUAUGAUUCUAUCGUUAGUCGAAAUUUUGAAAGUAUUAUAUAUUGAGUUUCGCACAUUUGUUUAUGAAUAGUAUUACAUCCAAAUGAAGGAUUCCGAGUUCUACUAUUUUCGCUAAUAUUUUUAGAUUUUUAAAAUUUUAUCAACUAUUUAUUUUUAAUUUUUUGAUUGUUUUAUUUGAUUUAAAUAAAAAAUAAUAGGAGAUAAAUUUUUAAAAUCUAAAAAUAUUAUCUUAAAUACUAGAAUUCAAAAUCUUUCAUUUAGAUGUAAUACCAUUCAUAAAAAAUGUGUGAAACUCAAUAUAUAAUAUUUUCAAAAUUUCGAAUAACGAUAGAGUGAUAUUUCUGAUACAAUUUUUUUUGAUGAGUGUCUGAUUUGAGUCAAUUUGGGAAUCAGCGACUCAAUUGAUACAUUUGAACAAAACGAGUGGCCUACUUGAUAGUUAUCCCAAUUUUUUUUUUCUUCUUUUUUGAAUUCAUAAAUGAAAUGAAUAGCUUGAAAGGGGUGAAACGGUUUAUCUGGUUGUUUGACUAGAGAAAAUUUGAUUGAAUAUAUGUAAAUAUUAUAUAUAUAUAUAUAUAUAUAUAUAUAUANNNNNNNNNNNNNNNNNNNNNNNNNNNNNNNNNNNNNNNNNNNNNNNNNNNNNNNNNNNNNNNNNNNNNNNNAUAUAUAUAUAUAUAAUCGGGUUGGGUUGGGUUAGUUCAGGGUUAAAAUUUGUAAAACCCUGACCCAACCCAACUUAAUCGGGUUUUUUAAAAUAUAACCCAUUUAUUUUUCGGUUUUGAACGGGUCGGGUUAAUCGGCCUAAAAAAGGGUCGGUUUGGGUUGGGUUAACGGGUUGAACGGGUUUAUGUUCACCCCUAGUACACACUAGCCAUCCAAAUUUCAAAAUGUACGGUUCGGUCAUUGAAGUUUCUUGUUAUGUACGGUUUGAUCACAAAAAAUUAACAAAAUAAAAACCGGGAGAGAGUUUAAUACACACGAUGUUAGAGGAGAGUGGAUAGUAGGUGGGGAGCAUGCAGUUACACCGGCAAUUCUAACUUCAUACACCAACACACACUUCUAAAUGAAAUAUAAAUCGUUUCACUUUUUGGCACACACUUCUAAAUUUUUUGACCGUAUAAUUAAAAUUGUUAAUUUUGAAAUUUUCUUUUUUAAAUAAAAAUAAUAGUUAAUAUUAUAAUUCACAAAAAGAAAUUUUUAAAAAUAAUGAUUUUUAUUUCAACUAUAUGGUCAAAAGGCUUAAAAUUGUGUGCCAAAAAGUCAAACCACUUAUAUUUCAAAACGGAGGGAGCAGCACUUAUUCAUUUGGACUUAUGUGUAAUGUGUAUCACUUAUUUGUUUCGACUUAUCAUAGAUAUUUUUUAAAAACUAUUAUAAUAAAUUAAAUAUUAUUUAUUAUUUUAAUAUAUUUCUAUCAUUAUCCAAAAUAAGGUGAUAUAAUAAAUCUCUUGUCAAAGGAAGCAUUAAUAUUCUUGAUCUUAUGAGUCACUUUGGAACGAAAUAAUAAGGUGUUUUUAGAAAGAACAAAGAAGUCUCUUACCUUAUGACGAUUCUCCACUUUUCUCCGAGUAACUUCAUACUCGAGUUCAUCCAUAAAAGCUUCAGCUUCAUGAGCAACUUGUUCAAGCUUUUUAAACCACAGUUGGGCAGUAGACAUGUUUAAAUUCUGGGUAUGAGCAUCGUUCAAGAGAGCACCAAUUAGCUCAAACCUUUCGCGCAGUGUAUCCAGAUCUUCAUGAAAUUUCCAAGCCUGAAUCAACUCAUUGGUUGCCAGUGAAACAAGCUUGCGAACCAGUCCAGCAGCAAGAUCAGCUCCAGUUGCUUCAGCCAUUUUUUCUUGUCAGCUUCUUUAGUGUAUUAUCUUGGAGUAGAUGUGUAUGCAUGUGGUGAUAGUUUUAAUGACUAUCCCUUGAUAUAUGUUGGAGUCUUGGUCAACUUUGUAGUGUGAACUUUGAUAGUUUUGUGGGGCAGAUGUGUAUGUGGUUACUAAACAACUCAUCAACAUUCUAUUACGAACACUGCUCUUGACAUUUUAUGAAAAGCGGAACAAAAUUCAACAAAUAACUCAUUGAAACAUUUCAUCAAACACAUGAGUAUGUGAUAAAUGACAUAACAUAUGAUUCAUAAACAGUUAACGAAAGAGAGUUAAAGACCGAAAGAGAUCAUUCUAUGCCCUGAUAGAAGUGAGCAGUGAAGAGUAGCAAAGAUUGGGUACAGGAGAGGAGAAGAGCACUAACCCUCUGACCAAGCUUCUGCAGACUAUUCAUUGUGAACAUUUAAGCAACAACAUGAACAAGCACAGUUUCAAAGAACUAAUGACUAAUUACUUGCUGACAACUUCACAAUUUGAGGCUAUAACCUAGGUUUACAAUUGGAAUAUGUUUAAUCUUAAACCAUUCUGGUCCGCUCCCCUUGCAAUAUCUUUCUUUCAGAAUUGGACACCCACUUAUCUCCAGGCGUUCAAGGCAAUGAGAUUCGUCAAACAUGGGCAAACUCUCCAAAUUCUUGCAAUUGCGAAUAACUAAGAUCUUGAGAGAUGGGAGCUUUGCUAUUGGAAGGAGAAGACCACUCACACCUUCGAAAUCAGAUAUAAUUAGUUCAGUCAAGGCAGGGAAGGCUGUGAACUGAAGUUGCUCAACGAGCGCUAUCGAUCUUACAUUUUCCCACCCACACAGUUGUAGCCGAAUCAGGUUAGGAAAUGAGGAGGAGGAAGAAGAAGAGAAUGGCAAAGGAAAUUCAACCAAUUCAUCCGAAAAGGGACCUAAAUACAAAUCUACAACUGUGGAACUCUGAAUUUGGUUAAAAACCCGAUCUAAAAGAGAGGAGGGGAGAUUCCUAAUCGAAAGAUCUGUUAGACUAACUGACCCUUGAACUAAGUUAAUACUAAUUAGAUGCGGGCAAUCAUGUAUACGUAAACUGUCAAGAGAGACACCAAGCACCAGACGUUUUAAACCCUUGCAGUCAUCUAGGUGUAAUUUUCUGAAAGACUGAGAAUUAUUUCUCAAUAGCACAUUAAUUAUCGAUUCCAUGUUCGAACUUGAGGAAGAAAAUGAACUUCCUUCUCCGUCCUUGAUAUUCUUGAGCUUUAAAGAGGUGAGUGAACUAACAUCUCUGCUGAUCAUUUCUAGUAUCAUGCUGCUCUCCAGAUCUUCGAUUUUCAACACCUUCAAGGACAUAAAAGAACUAAUCGGGAUUUUUCUCAACGUUGGACAGUUGAAGAUUUCAAACUCCUGAAGUUGAGGGAAUACACUUUGGCCAUAAUUGACGCAUGUACUUGUGACAUCUUCUACCCAUUCUUCUAGCUUUGGCAUAUCUUCCAAAUGGAGUUCUCUCAGUGAUGGAUACAGUGUUGAUGUAACUGCUUUCUGGGAUCCACAAAAAUCGUUUCCAACGACCUUAACAUUUUCCAUCCCACUAAUACAGCAGUACUUGAGUUUAGGAAGGUGACCCAAUGGAGGAAGUGUUGGUUAUUUUAGUGUAAAUUGAAUUAACUAGUUGAUCAAUGUAAUCAUAAUAUUACAUCGAACAAGUCAGGAGAGUACGGAGUGUAUGCUUAGUUCGAGUUUAUUAUGAUUAUUAGUGCUUAUGAGGCAUGUUCAUUGGCAUUAGACACAUCUAUUGGAAAAGAAGUGUCUAUUGGCAUUGGAUUUGUCCAUUGACAUUAGACACAUUUAUUGGGAUAAGAUGUGUCUAUUGCCAUUAGACAAAUCUAUUUGGAUUAAGACGUGUCUAUUGUCAAAAGACACAUCCGUUGACAUCUAUAUAUAGAUGUUGCAUUGAUCAUUUCAAGAUAGAUGGUUCAUUUGAAAUACACAACAAUACACAUUCUCUCUUCUUGCAGAAUUUCUGACUUUAUCCGAUUGAAUUAUUUGGUGAACCACAAAUAACUUCAAUCUGAAAGUGUUCACACGACUUCAGAAAAAUCCAAGUUACAACCAAAUCUACAACAAAGAUUGAAGUUAUUCUAUUCUGAAGAUGACGAACGGAGAAUCUGCAAAAGAUAUGACAAGUAAGUUUGCAAAGUUGGACAAGUUUGAGGGUCAAGAUUUUCGAAGAUGGCAAAAGAAGAUGCAUUUUUUGUUGACCACGCUAAAGGUUGUGUAUGUUCUAAGUACUCCUAUGCCAGAAGAGAUUGAGAAUGAAACUAUUGAACAAACAAGGCAACGCUGCAAAUGGGAAAACGAUGACUACAUAUGUCGCGGUCACAUCCUAAACGGUAUGUCUGAUUCCCUUUUCGAUGUAUAUCAAAAUGUUGAGUCAGCGAAAGAAUUGUGGGAUUCUCUUGAAUCCAAGUACAUGGCAGAAGAUGCUUCUAGUAAGAAGUUUCUUGUCAGUAAUUUUAUGAACUAUAAAAUGGUCGAUUCUAGACCGGUGAUGGAACAAUACAAUGAAUUGUUAAGGAUUCUGGGACAGUUUGUUCAACACAAUUUGAAGAUGGAUGAAUCUAUCUCUGUUUAUGGUGUUAUUGACAAACUGCCACCAUCAUGGAAGGAUUUUAAACACACCUUGAAACAUAAUAAAGAAGAUAUGACAUUGGUUGAACUUGGAAGUCACUUCCGAAUUGAAGAGGCUUUGAGGACUCAAGAAAAUGAGAAUAAUCCUAAGGGCAAGAACCAAGUCGGUAACUCUUCUGUGAAUAUGGUUGAAGAUGGUGGAUGUUAUAAGAAUCCUAAAAACAACAAGGGUGACAAACGGAAAUUCAAAGGAAACAACAACAACUUUUCCAACAAGAGGCCUAAGAUUGCAUGUUGGAAGUGUGGCAAACCUGGACAUUUCAAGAAGGAUUGUCGGGUUGGUAAAAGUAAGCAAGAAAGGCUUAAUGCUGGUCCAAGUGGAUCCAAGGAUCCAGAAAAGCAACAAGGUCAGAUUUUGAUCAAAAAUUGUAAUUCUGGUCAGAAUUAUGUAUCAUUGAUAUCUGAUGCAUUUUAUGUGCAGGAUGAUAAUGUUGCUUGGUGGAUUGAUUCUGGAGCAACAAGUCAUGUAUGUAAAGAUCUUCGUUGGUACACAGAAUUUCAACCAAUUGAAGAUGGAUCUAUCUUAAAGAUGGGAAAUGUUGCAAUUAAACCGAUCAAAGGGCUAGGAAAUGUUAAGCUAGUGUUUACUUCUGGAAAAUGUAUAUAUUUAAAUAAUGUGUUGUAUGUACCUGGGAUUCGAAAGAAUCUCUUGUCUGGUGUUGUAUUAAAUAAUUGUGGAUAUAAGCAAGUUUAUGAAAGCACCGAUCAAAGGGCUAGGAAAUGUUAAGCUAGUGUUUACUUCUGGAAAAUGUAUAUAUUUGAAUAAUGUGUUGUAUGUUCCUGGGAUUCGAAAGAAUCUCUUGUCUGGUGUUGUAUUAAAUAAUUGUGGAUAUAAGCAAGUUUAUGAAAGUGACAAGUAUAUCUUGUCAAAACAUGGCACUUUUGUUGGCUUUGGUUACUUAUGUAAUGGCAUGUUUAUGUUAAAUGUAAAUACUCCAUUUAAUGAUGAAUCUUCUUGCAUGACUUCUACUAGUACUAGCCUAAAUUUAAAUAAAUCAGAAUUAUGGCAUGCUAGACUAGGACAUGUACAUUAUAAAAGAAUAAAGGAUAUGUCUAAAAUGAGUCUCAUACCUGCUAUUGAUUUGAACAAUGAAAAAUGUAAAACAUGCAUGUUAACAAAGAUAACUAGAAAGCCCUUUAAAGUUGCUAAUAGGGUGUCUGAUGUAUUAGAAUUGAUACACAGUGAUUUGUGUGAUUUUCAUUCUACACCAUCAUUAGGAAAUAAAAAGUAUGUUGUUACUUUUAUUGAUGAUGCUUCUAGAUAUUGUUAUGUAUAUUUGUUGCAUGCGAAAGAUGAAGCUCUUGACUCCUUUAAAAUAUAUAAAGAAGAAGUAGAGCUACAUCAUCAUGGUACCUUGAUUAAAAAUCUACGUACUGAUAGAGGAGGUGAGUAUUAUGAUCCAGUGUAUUUUCAAUCUACUGGUAUAAUACAUCAAACCACGGCUCCUUAUACACCACAACAAAAUGGUGUAGCAGAAAGAAAAAAUAGGACUUUGAAAGAAAUGGUUAAUUCCUUGUUGUCCUACUCGGGUUUGAGUGAGGGUUUUUGGGGUGAGGCUAUGUUGACAGCCUGUUAUUUAUUGAAUCGAAUUCCUAGUAAGAGGAAUAAAAUUACUCCUUAUGAACUCUGGUGAUAUGAUUGAUGAAAACAGAUUUACAUCUAUACCUAGACCGAGGGACAUGCUUCUAUAUUCUUCUAGUAGGAACUCAGUUUCUACAGAAGAUGUUCAUCAACCGUCUGAACCAAGGAGAAGCACUAGAGCUAGAAAAACAAAGUCUUUUGGAGAUGAUUUUCAUCUUUAUCUAGUUGAGGGUUCUAGAGAUGAAAUCAAAGAUCAAUAUCAAUAUUGUUUUAUUAUUGAGGAGGAUCCAAAAACUUUUACUGAAGCUAUGACAUCGAGGGAUGUUGCAUUUUGGAAGGAAGCUAUCCAGGAUGAAAUGGAUUCUAUCAUGAAUAAUAAUACAUGGGAAUUGAGUGAUUUGCCCCCUAGCUGUAAAGCAUUGGGAAACAGAUGGAUCUUCAAAAGGAAAAUAAAGGUGGACGGUACGAUAGAUAAGUUUAAAGCCAGAUUGGUAAUCCAAGGCUUUAGACAAAAGGAAGGGAUUGAUUAUUUUGAUACUUAUGCUCCUGUUGCUAGGACUUCAACUAUUAGGUUGUUAAUAGCACUUGCUGCUAUACACAACCUUGUCAUUUAUCAAAUGGAUGUGAAAACUGCAUUCUUUAAUGGUGAAUUAGAUGAAGAGAUUUAUAUGAAACAACCCGAAGGGUUUGUUGUGCCUGGUUGUGAUAAAAAGGUGUGUAAAUUGAAGAAAUCAAUUUAUGGUCUAAAGCAAGCACCGAAGGAUUGGCACGAUAAAUUUGAUAAAGUGGUCUUGUCUAAUGGUUAUGUUAUUAACCAAGCAGACAAGUGUGUAUAUAGCAAAUUUGAUUCUUCUGGUAAAGGAGUUAUAAUUUGUUUAUAUGUGGAUGACAUGUUGAUUUUUGGUACAGACCAAAAUCAAGUGGAUAAAACCAAGAAGUUCUUGUCAUCUAAUUUUGAUAUGAAAGACAUGGGGGAGGCUGAAGUGAUUCUUGGUAUAAGGAUCAAGCGUGAGAAUAAUGGUAUUUCAAUUUCUCAAUCUCAUUAUAUUGAGAAGAUUUUGAAAAGAUUUAAUUUUAAGGAUUGUUCUCCAGUUAGCACUCCUCUUGAUCCUAGUAUUAAACUCCUACCAAAUAAAGGUGUUUCAGUAUCUCAACUUGAGUACUCAAGGGCUAUUGGUAGUCUUAUGUAUGCCAUGAUAAGCACUAGGCCAGAUAUUGCCUAUGUUGUUGGAAAGCUUAGUAGGUACACUAGCAAACCAAGUUCACAUCAUUGGCAAGCCUUAAGCCGAGUAUUCAAGUACUUGAAAGGAACCAUGGAUUAUUGUUUAACAUAUACUGGAUUUCCUUUGGUUAUUGAAGGUCAUUCGGAUGCAAGUUGGAUUUCCAAUGAGGAAGAUCAUUCUUCCACAAGUGGAUGGGUAUUCCUCCUUGGGGGAGGUGCUAUCUCUUGGUCAUCAAAGAAACAGAGUUGCAUUACAGACUCAACAAUGGAAUCUGAAUUUGUGGCAUUAUCAGCUGCUGGUAAAGAAGCUGAAUGGCUAAGAAAUCUGAUAUAUGAAAUUCCAUUGUGGCCAAAACCUAUAUCACCCAUAUCAAUAAGGUGUGAUAGUCAAUCUGCCUUGUCUAAUGCUUAUAGAGAAGUGUUUAAAGGCACAUCUAGACACAUAGGUGUUAGACAUAGUAUGAUUCGUGAGCUUAUCACUCACGGUGUUAUAUCAGUGGAGUUUAUAAGAACUCAACAUAAUUUAGCCGAUCAUCUUACCAAAGGAUUGAGUAGAGAUCUUGUGCACAAGUCGGCUGUGGGGAUGGGAUUAAAGUCCGUUUAAAAGUCUCUCAUGUUGAGAAACCCAAUUCUCACCUAAGAUUACACCAGGUGCUGAAUUUAAUGUGGAAACUUAACAUCUAGAGAUUGGAACACAUUAAAGCAUCAUCCCAAGUUAUGUGUUCAGACCUGCAAGAUAAAGAGGUUGAAGUCUAUCUUCUUAAUAGUUCUUUUGAAAAAUCGCAUAUGCAGGUGCGAGAAUAAAAGAACUACCUAUUUGAGCAUGAAGUUUAGCCGCUUCAAGAAGCUUGGACUUGGCUUUGAUAUGCUUACGAAGGAUUGGGACACAAGGCUAGUAAAAUAUAGUGUCAAGUAAGAAAAUGUGAGAAUGUAAAGUUAUGUGUAUAUUAUCUUCAUGUAUUCAUUAUGAAUAGUAGAGGUUCAAUCCAUCGCGAUACCUUGAUAUUCGAAUAUUUGAAAUGUGUAAUAUACUAAUGUGAAAUUCAAUCGUCAUGAUAUUUCAUUUAUGCAUAACUUUGUUAUUUGUUGUGAUUUUGUUUAGUUGAUUAUGGAUUACACUAAAAUGGGGGAGGAUUGUUGGUUAUUUUAGUGUAAAUUGAAUUAACUAGUUGAUCAAUGUAAUCAUAAUAUUACAUCGAACAAGUCAGGAGAGUACGGAGUGUAUGCUUAGUUCGAGUUUAUUAUGAUUAUUAGUGCUUAUGAGGCAUGUUCAUUGGCAUUAGACACAUCUAUUGGAAAAGAAGUGUCUAUUGGCAUUGGAUUUGUCCAUUGACAUUAGACACAUUUAUUGGGAUAAGAUGUGUCUAUUGCCAUUAGACAAAUCUAUUUGGAUUAAGACGUGUCUAUUGUCAAAAGACACAUCCGUUGACAUCUAUAUAUAGAUGUUGCAUUGAUCAUUUCAAGAUAGAUGGUUCAUUUGAAAUACACAACAAUACACAUUCUCUCUUCUUGCAGAAUUUCUGACUUUAUCCGAUUGAAUUAUUUGGUGAACCACAAAUAACUUCAAUCUGAAAGUGUUCACACGACUUCAGAAAAAUCCAAGUUACAACCAAAUCUACAACAGGAAGUACUUCACACCAUACGACGAUUCUCCACCUUCCUUCGAGUAACUUCAUACUCAAGUUCAUAUAUAAAAAGCUUGAGCAACAAUAGCCAUAUCCUCAAGUUUGUUGAACCACAAUCUGGCAGUAGUCAUAGUUAAAUUCUAGGCAUGAGCAUCGUCCAAGAGAGCGCCAAUCAAUUCAAAUCUGUCACGCAGUGUCUCCAAAUCUCCGUGAAGUUUCCAGACCUGAAUCACUUGAUUACUUGCAAGUGAAACUAAGCUUUCAGACCAGUCCAGCAGCAAGAUCACCUACAAUUGCUUCGGCCAUCGUUCUUGAUUAUUUUUUAUCAUUAAUGGUUGUAAUGUCUACUUUGAGGAGCCACACCCACCUGAAUGGGGGACACAUUGUGUAAAAAUUUUCGUUGCAAAUUUUGUUUGUUUGCAAAAUUACAAAUUUUAGGCGGAGUUUUCUUGUAUGGACGUUCAGGCUUGAUGAUCUCCACCAAUUUGCUUUGGCACAGAGUUAUGUAAUAAUGGGUAAAGGCCUAACAUACCUGCUUUUCUCGGUGUUCCAAUAAUCCUUGAUUAAUUCUUAUAAAAUAUUUUUUCAAGUUAUCGAUUACAUUCUGAUUUGAUUAAAAAUCUUUAAUUUAUCAAAAGAUAUCCGACACAUGCUGAAUAAAUAGGUCAACAGAAUUAGUUUUGAUUUCCGGUCUCUAGACCCAUGUGAUUUUUUCCAAAUAAAAGUUAGCGAAAUACCUGUUGGCCGAAAAGCCAGCUCCAAAUACCAACCAAAAUGCAUUUAAAAGUCAUUCGUCUCUGACAACCGUGUCUCCAAAUCUUCAUGAAGUGUCCAAACCUGAACCACUUCAGUAGUUACCAAAUAACUUCAUUACUUGCAACAAAGACUCAACUUGAUUAGUGAUGAAAGAACAAUGUGACUUACAGAACCAUGUUUACAGUUCACAAAAAUAGAGGCCUUCAUCUUUGUGCAACUUGGAUGCCAGCUUAAAGAUGUUUAAUGUUAUAUUACAGAAGGUAUACUUCCUCUCUUUUCUCUGCUUUUAUGUAAAUUUAGCAGGACUAAUACAUGUUAGGAGUUUCCGAUAAGCGCAAUAAAAUUGUUAGUCUCGCACAAUGGUAUUAUAAUCAGUAAAAAUGUUUGUGGAGUUCAUGAUAAGUGUAAUGAAACUGCUAGUCUAGGCAUCAAUCCCUUAUGCAACAAACAUGCCAGUGAGAGAACUUAUCAUGAAAAUUAACUGUACAGAAACAGAGGGGAUACAUUUGAUGUAGUCUAGGAAUCUAUAUUUGGAAUCUGCUGAAUCCCAUUCCCCUUCCAACAUCUCACUUCUAGAAUAGGACACCCAAAUAUAAGGUAGUUUAGAGCACUUGACUCUUCAACUACAUUGAUACUCAUUAGAUCAGCGCAAUUGACCACUUUUAAAUAUUCAGUAGCGACACCAAGGGUUAUGCUCGUCAAUCCCUGGCAGUCAUAUAGGUUCAAAGUUGUCAAAGACGGAGAAUUGUUCAAGAGCUUGUUAAUUACAGAGUCCAUAUUUAUGUAAGAAGAAGAAGAGGCUCCUCCCCUGUUACUGAUAUCACUCAGACGUAGAUGUGUGAGAGAGUGAAUCUUUCUGCUCAUUGUUUCUAGUAUCACGCCGCUGUCCAAAUUUGAUAUUCCCAACUCCUUUAAUGAUGGAAAACAACUACUUGAGAUCCUUGUCAACUUUGAACAUCUCUUAAUAUCUAACACCUCAAGUUUAGGAAACGAUACGAACCUAGUUUGGUCUUCAGUACUAGUUACUGGUUCUAGCCACUCUUCUAGCCUUGUCAGCCCUCGCAGUAUUAGUUUUGUCAAUGAUGGAUACAGGGUUCUAACCAGGUUUGUGGCUUGAUCAAAAUUGCUCUUGAUAACCCUCAAAUUAUCCAUCCCUACUAUCUUCAUCUCCCUCAGUUUAGGAAGGUGUCCCAGUUGUGGAAAUUCUUCACAUCUGUUGGCGUUUCUCAAUGUGAUUUUCACCAAAUUGUCCAUCAUUGUAAUCCAAGAUGCAAAUUUUUUCGCCAUGAAGUUGUCAAUCGUCAAUUCUUUCAGGUACGUGUGAGGUUCUAAACCUUUCAUCACAUCUUCAUAGUUAAAUUCUUUGUCCUCCCUUUCAUUUUCAUUGUUGCUCCAGUCUAAUAGUAAAUGCUGAAUACGAGGCUUUUGACAAAGUUUUGCCUUACUCGCUUCUUCCAUAUUAACCACGUGCCUCAGAUCGUAGAGUUUAAGGUUACCUCUAAGAUUUUUCAGCCCUCCUAGUUGUCCAACUAGACAAUUUUGGUCUCUACUGACAACAAAAUGAGGAAGCGUUUGAAGACAAAUUAACCUCUCUAUUCCAAUAAACAUGCAUCUUCUAGGAUUGUUGUCUGCAAAUUUAUUCUCGACAAAGAGAUGUCUUAGGUUAAGAAGGUUGCAAGCCUUCUUUGGAAGCUCAUGUAAAGCUGAAAUUCUUAGAGUCUGCAAGUUGUAGAGUCUUGAGAUGUAAUCUGGCAAUUUAUAACUCUUGCACCCGAGAGAAUUUGAGAUAUCGAGAUGCUUAAGGUAUUUCAAAUUCCCUAUCGAACUUGGCAACUCAUUAGAAAAUGACUUUAGAACCAGCACUCUCGAGUGUUUGAGGUUGGGUAAGAGGACACUGAUAAUACUAGCCUGUGAGUAUAGUGAUUGUACUGUAUAAAAGUAGGCCUUGUAGAUAUUUGGUUUUAUAUCCUCAAACCCCUCCAGCCUUACAUAAAUUGCCUGAGAAAGCUGGUUAGAAUCCUGACUUGGUGUUACGGUUUGGGAGUGAUUAGUUGACACAUCUACAGCAAGAUCAUGCACAAGAUCAUGCAUUUUGCAACAGGUGAUAUUGCCAUAUUCAUCCGUUUCCACGUCUUGUAACAAAGAAUUCGACAACAAAAUGUUGAAGUAUUCACUGCCUAUGUCCUCCAUCAGCAAACUGGUAUCUCUAGGAGGCAAAAGGAAUCCUAAUGCCAUCCAUAUAUGUACCAUUUCAUCUUUAUAUAUAAGAGAAUCCUUUGAAAGAACAGAAAAUAUGCAAAACAUCUUUUCAAUGAUGAAUAUAUGGUAAAUUGUCAUAUGACAACCUCAAGGAUGAUAAUACCCCUUUUGAUCAUUUCCAUACUUCACUGUUUAAGAUCAACAGCCACUCUUCCUCCGACUUCUUUGAGUACAAUAAACCCCCUAAUGUUUUUAUUGCCAGAGGCAGGCCGCCACACCUUUCCACCAUUCUUCUUCCCAAGUCUACGAAUUCCCUGGUCUCUAAAACUCCUCCAUGUGUAAAUGCUCUUUGCUUGAAUAGUGCCCAACUAUAUUCUUCUGAAAGUUUUUCAACCCUAUAACAAACAGAACAUUGCAUGGCAUCGAUGACUUCCUGGUUACGCGUGGUCACUAGAAUGCUGCUUCCUUUGGCACAACCAACUCCAAGCAAAGAAUUCAUCAAGCUAUCCCACUUAUCUGCUUUCUCAUUCCAUACAUCAUCCAGUACAAGUAAAACCUUUACCCCCUUUAGAUGUUUUUGAAGAUUUUUGAUCACUGCUUCGGUGUUAUCCAACACUGAAGUGGUUAAAGUAAGCGAUCCUACCAUCUGAUUCAAAAUCUUCAUAAAAUCAAAAUCAUCUGAUACAGUAACCCAUAUCCUCUUUGGAAAUAUAUUGAUCACAACAUCUUUAUUGUAAACCAUGCGAGCAAGAGUUGUCUUACCUUGACCCCCCAUCCCUGCUACAGCAACGACCAGUAAAUCCUCAUCAUGAAUUUCAGACAAGACAUGAACUAAAUUUGAUACAUCUUCAUCUCUUCCGACUACUUGUGUCUCGUCUUCAAAGGGCGCGGUGUGACGGAUCCCUCUCACUUGUACAGUUGCACUCAAUUGUGCUAUGGGUUGCAGUCCAAGAUCUGCCGCCCAUUUAAAAAUCUUGUCAAAGGAUUUAUGAAUAGUCUUGAUCUUAUUAGCCGCCUUAAAACGAUUUAAUAUGUUGUUUUAGGAAGGAACAAAGAAGUCCCUUCCCCUGUUAUGAUUUUCCACCUUUUGUCGAGUAACUUCAUAAGCCAGCUGAUCCAUAAAAACAUCAGCAACAUGUGCCACAGCUUUGAGUUUGCUGAACCAGGUUUGGACAGAAAACAUAUCUAGUUUCUUGGUAUAAGUAUCUGACAGGAGAGCAUCGAUAGAUUACAGCCUUUCGCGCAGUGUUAAUAGAUCUUCAGAAAGAUUCCAGGCCUGAAUAACUUCUUCAGUAGCAAGUGAAAUAAGCUUGCGAACCAGUCCGCUGGCUAGAUCAGCUACAAAUGCAUCAGCCAUGCUUUUAUCAAUUUCAGUUACCUGAUUAUAUCAUGAAUAUUUGCAUGUUAAAAGAUUAGUAUUUGGGUAGUAAUGGAGUCUUCUUCAACUUUGGGCUAUCAAAAGUCAGAUGUAAUAGUAUUAUUGAAUUCUUUAUGCCCUCUUUGUCACAACUUUAAGCUACCAUGUCCUGUGGAUGGUGAGUUGAAUAGAAAUUUAUCAAGUGGGGGAAGCUGAGGGCAAAGAAAGCCAAUCCAGCUAAAAGUCAAUAGCCUCCUAGAAGAUGGCAUCUUUACUCUUUACAUGCCAGGUGAUGAUCUUCAACUAAAUCUAUAUUUAUAUUCAUUUAUUUUAUCGAAUUCAGAUUAGAUUAAUAUUGGAUUUUUUACGGGCCGAUCCGAAUCCGUCAGAGACGACACGGAUCUCGAACUCCACUAUGUAUAAUUUAUUUUAUUUUAAAGAAAAUUGACUUGUUAUAAAAUUAUAAAAGACCAUUUAUCGUUUACAAUUGAACAAAAUUUAAACCAAAAAAUAUUUAAAAAGAAAAAAAUAAAUGUAAAUCGACGGUCAAUAUUGAUUCGAGAAUAUAAAUGAAAAAGAAACAUGAAAAUAGAGAAUGUAAAAUCUCGAUAAGAUUAUUUUGGAGCAAGUCUAUCGUCCUAAUAUAAAAAAAAUGUUUGAUACCCAGACGACAGAAAACUUACAUGGGUGUAUUCGAUUGGGAUUUUAAUGCAUUGUUUUUAGUCUAUGGAUUUUAAUGGAUUGUAUCAGAUUUUGAUUUUUUGCGGAUUCUUGAUGAAAUGUCGCAGAGUUGAUAGGAUUUAGGUACAAUGCUUCAAAAUCCCAUUGAAUUUGGUGGGAUUUCAAAAAACUUAAAAUACACUGAAGAAUGCCACAAAAUCCAUCAUUUUAUGAAAUGAAAAAAAAUCCAUCAGCAUUUGAAUACCAUCAGAUUUUAAUGGAUUUUAAACAAUCCCAAUUGAAUACCAUCGGAUUUUAAAGUAUAAUUUAAAAUCCCAAUUGAAUACCACUAGAUUUUGUAGCAUAGUUUAAAAUCCCAAUUGAAUACCUCAAGAUUUUAAUGGAUUUCAAACAAUCCCAAUCGAAUACCCUCGGAUUUCAUGAAUGCAAAAAAAUGCUUUAAAAUCUCAAUCCAAUACACUGAAGAAUGCCACAAAAUCCAUCAUUUUAUGAAAUGAAAAAAAAUCCAUCAGCAUUUGAAUACCAUCAGAUUUUAAUGGAUUUUAAACAAUCCCAAUUGAAUACCAUCGGAUUUUAAAGUAUAAUUUAAAAUCCCAAUUGAAUACCACUAGAUUUUGUAGCAUAGUUUAAAAUCCCAAUUGAAUACCUCAAGAUUUUAAUGGAUUUCAAACAAUCCCAAUCGAAUACCCUCGGAUUUCAUGAAUGCAAAAAAAUGCUUUAAAAUCUCAAUCCAAUACACCCCUCUUAGUUUCUCUUAUUUUCAUCUUUGUUGAAAAAGUACUUACUACAUUAUUACAUCUUUGAAGAAAGCAUUUGUAUCAGAAGUAUCCUUGACAUUUUCCAACUCCAUUGUAGCAUCAUCUUGUUCUUUGUUGUAAACAAAAAAGUUUGCAGCCAGAAGAAAAAACAAGAGGUUAAUAAAGCUCAGAACAGCAUAAAAUGCGUAGAAAUAGUCCAAGCGAGACACAUUCAAGUUGUCCAAAAUCCAGCCCUUGUGACCAUCCCUCUUAGUGAAAUCAGACACAGUUGUUAGAAUAAAACUGCUUAGAAAAUUCCCCAUACUCAAGCUAGUUGUAUAAUAGGCUGUGCCCAAGCUUUUCAUACUUUUUGGAGCUUGAUCAUAGAAGAAUUCAAGUCUCCCCACUUCCCAAAAUGUGUCAGCAACCCCCAUCAGAGCAUACUGAGGAAGUAAUAUGAAAAUGCUGAGCGGAACAAUUUGAUUUUUCUUUGUAAUGCCGUGAUCUUUAAUGACGUUUAAUCGCUUCCUUUCACAAACUGAAGCAAUGAUCAUGAUGAUGACAUGCAUUACUAGGCCUAUUCCCAUUCUUUGCAGCAUUGGGAUCCCUCUUGGAUUUUUGGUGUAGCUUCGAAGCGUGGGAACCAGGAAUUUAUCAUAGAUCACAACAGUGAUCAGCAUAAAGAUUGUUAUGAAUGCUACAAGAGAUGCCGGGGGAAUGCUGAAAUGAGGACCUAUGCUUCUAACAAGAGUGGUACCUUGCUUGAUGAAGAGCGUAUGUCCUUGAGCUAUCAGGGUGCUAGGUAAGAAUGAUACUAAUAAGAUUGGCACCAUUUUCACCAUUUGUUUUGUUUCUUCAACUUCAGUCACUGUGCACAGCAUCCAGUGAGGGCUCCGUCCAUCCACAACAGCUGCUUUAUCUAGUAUUCUGUGUAAAAGAAAAAGAUAAUUAAAAGUCGUACUCAUAACACAAGACUCCUGUAAAGGAAACAGAGAACCAUAAACCUCUUCUUUGAUAAAAAAAAAAAAAAAUGACANCUAAAACUUAAAAGUCGUACUUAGUGCACAAGACUCCGGUGUCAAAAGUAAAAAAGGAAACAGAGGACUAUAAACCUCUUCUUUGAUGAAUAAGAAAUACGACCUUAGUAAAGGAGAGUGUUCAAUUCUAUACUUUCCAGGUUUGGAAUAUUCAUCCAAAUUCAACUCAUGUAGUUCUUUUGGAUCAUCCGGGACAACCACAUCCCAUUUUCUAAUAGUGGCUAUAAGAACUCUAGCCAUCUUGGUCAAUGGGCUCCCAGAUGCAGGUUGGUGCCUAUAAUAAGGCGAGCCUGCUAGAAACACCAAUAUUGAUAAAAAGAGUCCGAUUGUUGGAAGACCAUAUCCAAGUCCCCAGCCUGCAUGAUCUUGUAUAUAGACUAGGAAAGUGCUGGCAAAAAGUGUGCCGAAGAAGAUACUAAAGACCCACCAAUUAAAGAAUGAUAUUUUCUGGGUUUUUUCUGUUGGCUCAAAUUCAUCAAACUGAUCUGCACCCAUUGUUGAGAUGUUGGGCUUUGUCCCUCCAGUUCCAAGUGCAAUUAUGUACAAUGCACAGUAGAAAAUACCCACUUGAAAAGGUGAAGCUUGCUUGUCACAGUCCACGUCUGAUAUACUGUCACCGCAUGAUGGUGGCCGGAGAGAUUUUAAUGAAACUACUAGUGUCAGCAAGGACAUGCCCUGUUACACAACAAAUAUUUGAGCCCAAGCAAAGCAAUCAAAACAUAUAGUCAAGAUCACAGAUAUAUGUGAAACUCGCGAACAAUUUUAUGUUUUCAUACCCCAAGAUAGAUGAAGGCUGAAACGAUGAAAGUCCAGUAACGGCCAAGAUGAGCAUCCGCGAUGUAGGCACCUAGAAUGGGUGUCAGCCAGACAGUGCCAACCCAGUUGGUGACAUUGUUUGAAGACUUCACGGUGCCUUCAUGUAAUUUUCUUGUGAGAUACAGCACUAGAUUUGUUGAUAUUCCAUAAAAUGCCAUCCUCUCAAAUGCUUCAUACCCUUCAAAAUCAUUCAUUAUACGGAAUAAAUUAGAAAAUCAAACCAAAAUUUAUUUUCUUCACCUUGAUACAAAAUAGUACAUGAGUUGAAUGUGGUAAAUGUUCCAUUGGAUGACAUCAGAAUUAUCAAAAGAAGCAAUAGAAUCUUGUUGACAUACCUACAAUGAAGGAGGUUGCUCUCCAUCUCCCUGUGUUUGAUCUUAACACAGGAUUACCCAUGAGGUCAACUGUUCCAUCUUUGGUGUACUCAUCAUCCCCUCUCGUCUUGCCAUUCUCUUCGACUACUCUUUCCAUUGUCAUUGUCAUCUCCCUGUGUUUGAUCUGAACACAGUUCAACGUGCAGCUCGAGUUUAUACUAGACAACCUCUGUCUACCUGCAUAUACAGUUAGCUACAAAUGAAAUGGUGGAUAAUAAUUAAAUCACUAACAGACUAAGACUGAAGUCAGUUUUUAUAUCUGAAAUUCAACCCUUUUCUUAUCUAAAAUAUUCAUGCUGGUAAAAGAACAAAUACAAGUGUCCAAGUAAAUGAAUAUAGACGCCACUUCUUAGUUUUUUCUAGUAAUAUACAAAUGCAGCUGCUAAUAUUUUAGUUAGCAUCAAAAUGUUCAAGUAUGAAGAAUAUCUGGGGCAAGACGGCUACCAACGUUAAUUUGCCGACUGAUCCCCGCAUAAGUGACAAAUAUUCAUGUCUAUAUAGGUAACAAUUUGAAAGCUUAGUAGCCGACCUCAUCAUAGGAUCAGUAAGUACAUCGCUCACUUGUCUUCUUCUUCUUCUCUCUUUUCUUUUUGCCGACUUGUUAAUGGAACUUAUCAGUUAUUAGUACAUCGCUCACUUAUUUAUCUUUUUUCGCUAAGCAGCUCAAUACUUAUUGAACUUCUAUUUAUCUUUUUUCGCUAAGCAGCUCAAUAUUUAUUGAACCUCUAUUCUGCUUCCUCUCCGUUCACUCAUUAAGCCUUAAAGUCAUUUGUGAAACAACUACCACCGAUAAGCUAAUACUCCCUCCAUCCCAAUUCUUUUGUCCUGUUUGAUGUUUUGUGGACAAAUUGACUCAAUUUUGACUGAAAUUGACAUAUAUUAAAUAAUUGAAAAAAAUUAUAAAAAAUAUAUUAUUAGAAUCUACAUUUAUUCUACUUUAAGAUGUAUUUUUCAAUUACUAGAAAUCAUAUAAGGAUAAUUAUUCAUUAACGAUCAAAGUUGGGUCAAUUUGACCACAAAAAAUCAAACAAGACAAAAGAAGUUGGUAGGACGGAUUUUGUAGAGUUUGUUUUUGUCAUUAUAGUGUUACCACCCGUAUUUUCUUACAAUUUUGUAAAUGACAGGUUUUUGAAUUAAAUCUUGUAUUAGUAUGAAUUUGAUUAAUAAUAUUAAUAUGAACUCUUUAUUUAUUUGAAUUCUAAAACAUGACAAAUUUUUAUAAACUUGUUUUAUAAAUUAAAUUGUUUGAGUUUUAAAAACUAAAAACAAAUUAACAAUUCUAUUGAAGGUACAAGUGUGACAUUACAUAAAAGUUCUAAUAAAAUAAUUGUACUUCUUAAAUAAAAUAUAUAUAAGUUUCGUCAUUCAAUAUUUGGAACGGGGAAAGCAAAGGUGGUACCAUUAUUCAUCGGUGCUAGUGAAAAGGGCCGCACUCCUGCAGUAUCUUUGGAUCAUAAAGGAUGCUCUUCAGAAGUCCACAUCUCAUUAUCACUGAUUUAACAAAUUCAAAUAUUUCAGGUGAAGCAAUAAAAAUGAAGACAGAGAUAAGUUAGUACUAACAGAGAGUGAUAAGUUUACCAUCUGAUAAUCGGAAUAUGUUGAAUCUUGAACCAUUCUGGCCCACUCUCUUUCCUGUAUCUUUCUUUCAGAAUUGGACACUCACUUAUGCGUAGAAAUCGGAGGCAAUGAGAUUCAUCAAACAGAGACACUCUCUCCAAAUCCUUACAAUUCUGAAUAGAUAAGUCCGCAAGAGAUGGAAGCUUCGCUAUUGACAGGACAAGAUCUUUCAUACCUCCGAAAUCACAUAUAAAUAACUCGGUCAACGCAGGGAAGGUGGAGAGCUGAAGCUGCUCAAAGAGCGCUAUUGACUUUACCAUUUCCGUCCCUCGCAGAGACAGCCAAACUAGGUUAGGGAAUGAAUGUAAUGAAGAAGAGAAUGGCCAUGGAAAUUCAUCCGAGAAGGGACCUAGGCGUAAAAAUCUAAGUGUGGAACUCUGAAUUUGGGUGGAGAUUCCAUCUAGAACAGAGGAGGGGAGCCCGAUUAAGUAGAGAGAUUUUAGACCAGCUGAUCCUUCAACUGAAUUAAUACUUACUAGAUUCGGGCAAUCAUAUACAGACAAGCUGUCAAGAGAGACACCAAGGGUGAGAUGCUGUAAACCCUUGCAGUCACGUAGGUCUAAUGAGGUCAAAGUCAGAUAAUUAUUUUUUAAUAGCACUUUGAGUAUUGAUUCCAAGUUUGAACAAGAAGAAGAUGAUGAUGAAUCCCCUACUCCGUCUCUGAUAUCAUCCAGUUCUAAAGAGGUGAGUGAGCUAAGAUGCAUAUACAUAGUUUCCAGUAUCAUGUUGCUCUCCGAAUUUCUAAUACUCAAUUCUCUCAAGGACGGAAAACAGCUAUUCAGGUUUCUCAGUCUUGGACAAUCUAAGAUUUGCAACUUCUCAAGUUUAGGAAAUACAAUUUGGUCUUUACCCCCUUUACUCAAAACGUCUUCCACCCAUUCUUCUAGCUUUGGCAAUCUCCCCAAAAUGAGUUUUGUCACUGACGGAUACAUUGCUGUUGUGACUGCUUUUUGGGCCGGACUUAGGCCUCCACAUAAAUCAUUUCCGAUAACCUUGACAUUUUCCAUCUUGUCUAUAUAUAUCUCUCUCAGUUUAGGGAGGUGCCCCAGCGGUGGAAAUCCUUCGCACCUGCUGCAAUCUGUCACGGAGAUUGUCACCAUAUUGGUCAUCAUUGGGAUCCAUGACGCAAAUUUCUUUCCCAUAAAGUCUUUAAUUUUCAAUGCUUUCAGAUUUGGGUGAGGUUCCAAUCCUUCCAACACACCCUCAUCAUUGUAUUCUCCUUCUUCCCUUUCAUCUUCAUUGUUCCUCCAAUUCAACAGUAAAUGUCGAAGAUUGGACUUUUCACAAAGCAAUGCCUUGCGUGCUUCUUCAAUAUUCUCCACCUCACUAAGGCCAUAGAGUUCAAGUGUACCUCUAAGAUUUUUUAACAUUCCUAGCUGUCCAACAAGACAGUUUUGAUUUUUCUUCACAACGAAAUAAGGCAGCGUUUGCAAACAAGUUAACCUCUCAAUCCCAACAAACAUGUAUCUUUUUUGAGAAUAGUCAAUAACAAGAUGUCUCAAGUUUAUAAGUUGGCAGAUGUUUUCCGGAAGCUCAUGAUCCCAUGAAAUUCUUAGAGUCUGCAAGUUGUAGAGUCUUGUAAGGUGAUUCGGCAGUUUAGAGCUAGUAUCGAAAUCUGCCAUCUCAGAGAUAUCUAAAUGCUUAAGGUGUUUCAAAUUCCCAAUUAAACCAGGCAGCUCAUUACGAAAUGAAUUUAUAACCAAAACUCUUAAGUACUUGAGUUUGGGGAGCACACAGAUAAAUAUAGUGGCCUCUACAUAUAGUGCUUGUACUGUAUCAAACCGUAGCUUAAACAUACUUUGUUUUACAUCUUUGAAUCCUUCAAGCCUUACAUAUGUAGCCUUUGAUCCUGUGUGAACAUCAUGACUUGGAUUUACAGUGGUAGAAUAAUUACUUGACACCUCUAGUGCAAGAUCAUGCACAAGAUCAUGCAUCUUGCAGUUGGUAAUAUAUCCGUAUUUAUCCUCUUCCACAUCUUGUAACAAAGAAUUUCCCAACAGAAUUUCAAAGUACUCGUUUCCAAUGUCUUCCAUCAAAACAGUACUAUCCCCCGGAAGGAAUCCUAAUGCCAUCCAUAUUUGUAUCAAUUUAUCUUUAUAAAUGUCAUGAUCCUUUGGCAUAAUGGAACAAUAUGCAAAACAUCGCUUCAAAGACGAGUAGGGUAGAUUGUCAUACGACAGCCUCAAGGAAGACAGUACACCUUUUGAUUUCCAUAUUUCACUAUUUUGGAUUCGCAACCACUCUUCUUCACUCUUCUUUGAGUACAAUAAACUCCCCAGUGUUUUAAUUGCCAGAGGCAGACCACCACAUCUUUCUACCAUUGUUUUACCCAAGGCCACAAAUGCCUCAGUCUCUAAAACUCCUCCAUUUAAAAAUGCUCUUUGCUUAAACAAUUCCCAACUAUCUUCCUCUGUCAGUUUUUUCACCAGAUAAGGAUCAGAACACUGCAUAGCUUCAGUCACUUCUUGCUUACGAGUGGUAACAAAAAUUUUGCUGCCUCUCGCACCCCCAACUCCAAGCAAAGAAUUCCUCAACUUGUCCCACGCUUCUGGUUUCUCAUUCCACACAUCAUCUAGCACAAGUAAAAACCUUUCGCCCUUCAGCUUUUCUUGAAGAUUUUUAAUCAGACCUUCCGCAUUAUCCAACACAGAAGGGCUGGAAGUGAGUGACACUACCAUUUGAUUCAAAAUCAUCAUGAAAUCAAAAUCAUCUGAUACAGUGACCCACAUCCUCUUGGGAAACAUCUUGAUCACAGCAUCUCUAUUGUAAACCAUGCGAGCAAGAGUUGUUUUUCCUUGACCCCCCAUCCCGAGUAUUGCAUUCACCUGUAUCCCCUCAUCAUUUGGGUUGCACAACAUGUUAACUAGAAAUGAUAUAUCAUCAUCUCUUCCGACAAUCAGUGACUCGUCUUCAAAGGGCUGGGUGUAGCGUAUCUCUCUGUGUUGCACAGUAGAUCUCAAAUGUUCAACUGGCUUAAGUCCAAUAUCAGUUGCCCAUUUACAGAUCUUGUCAAAGGAAGUAUUCAUAUACUUGAUCUUACGAGCCACUCUGAAACGAUAUAAUAAGGUGUUUUUAGAAGGAACAAAGAAGUCUCUUACCUUAUGACGAUUCUCCACUUUUCUUCGUGCAACUUCAUACUCAAGUCCAUCCAUAAAAGCAUCAGCUACCUGAGCCACCUCUUCAAGUUUGUUGAACCAAAUUUUGGCAGUACACAUGAUUAAAUUCUGGGUUUGAGCAUCGUGCAAGAGAGCACCGAUUAAUUCAAAUCUCUCACGCAGCGUCUCCAAAUCUUCGUGAAGUUUCCAGACCUGAAUCACUUGAUUAGUUGCGAGUGAAACUAGCUUUCGGACCAGUCCAGCAGCAAGAUCUCCUACAAUUGCAUCAGCCAUUGUUCUAAAUCUUUCUGGUUUCUUUAGAAUGUUAUCUUUAGCGAGGUGUGUUUGUGGUGAUAGUUGUAAGCACAAUUGGUUGAGAUAUAUUGAAGUCUUCGUCAACUUUAUGAUGCCAAAGGACAAUUGGUGAUGGUUGUAAGGACAAUUGGUUCACAUGGAUGGGGUCAUCUUAUUGAUUGUUCGCUGAGUCUAAUUUAAUUUUUUUGCAGAAUUACAGAUUUACUGGCAUAGUAAAUAUGAUUUCCUCUAAAAUACUCUUUCCAUUUCAAAUUAGAUGUUCACUCUCAAAAAAUCACACAGGUUAAGAAAACUAAAUGUUCACAAAUUAAAUUGCAUUAAGUAAUUAUAAUAUUUGAAAUGAGAUUGAUAUAAAAAAUAUAAAUAAAAUAUAUGUGAAGUAGAAUUGACUUUAGAAAUAUGAUUUUGCGUUGAAAGUUGAAGUGCUGCCUCGAAAAUGGACAUGUAAAUUGAAACGGAAAGAGUAUUUGAUUUGCUCCCUUUACUUGAGAAGAUGUCCUCCUUGUCCUUGUGUAUGCUUUUACAUGCCCUUUUGAAUAUCAGGCAUCGUGUUCUUCGAAAAAACAUUCAAGUGUUAUUUUGAAAAGAAAGAAGGGCAGGAAUUUUGCUGGAACACUUUUUCUUCAGAAAGUGACAUGUAGGGAUGGAGGGAGUAUCACAAACAAUAUUGGAUUUGAAUUUCAUUUGUAAUCCUAGACAUUCAAAUAGUAGUGUAAAUUUGAGAAUUUGAAAUAACAACUCAAAUCAUGUCAUUUGAAAUCCAACAUUUCAAAUGAAAUACAUGUUUUCAAACGCGAUCAAAAGCUUAUACAGGGAGAGACUGGAGCCUCAAGCAACAAGUAACAUAGAGAAGUGAAAAUUAUCCCAGAUUCACUAGCAAAGCUUCAAUCUCUCUGGACGUUAUUUGUCGGAUGUUGUGGGAAGUCGGACAGUUUGUCUUGACAAAUUAGAACGCAAUCUAUGCGCCAAAUAAAGCCCAAUCUCCGAGAGAUGAGAGUUGGAAGAGGUGUGAGGCAAAAUAGUUCAGAUUUUAACACAUUUUGGAUAGAGACCGUGGGUUUAUUCAAAAUCUAAGGACUGAAAGCCUCCUGAAAUUUCUGUAUAAGAUGAUAAACUACCUUUUUGCUGCAUAGAUAUAUGGUUUGUCGAAUCAGGAAUGGAACGGUGACAGUAAAAUUUUCACUAAACAGUCGCCUAAAAAACUUUUAAGGUAAACAUCAUAAGAACAUGUCAUUACAUUCCUUCUGAACCAUUCUUACAGAUAAUAAGAGAACGUAUGUUAAAGUACUUUUACAGAUUAUUUUUAGAAUAUGUUUAGUGCUGAACUUUUCUCUGCCACUCCCUGGACUACAACUCCAUCUUAGUUUAACAAAGAAAUCUAACAGAGGGGGAGAGCUUUCAGUGCUUCCAAAUCAAUUCAUGCCCGAUCUGUAUGCGAGGAAUAUGUUGUAUCUUGAACCAUUCGGGCCCACUCUCCCUCCUGCAUCUUUCUUCUAGAAUAGUACAUUGAAAUAUUUUCAGGUAUUGUAGGCUAUGUGACUCAUGAAACGUAGGCAAACUCUUCAAAUUAUUACAAUUCCAAAUACGUAACCGCUCAAGAGAUGGAAGGUUUGCCAGUGAUUCUGGAAGAGCUUCACUCCUUCGAAAUCAUUUAUGUACAACAGAGUCAAUGCAGGGAACAUAGAGGAGAGACGAUCAUCGAGCUCCCCAUUCAGAAGUAUUGACCUUACCUUCUUCCAACCGUACAGGGUCAGUGAGGUCAGUUUAGGAAACAAAAUUACAGAUGAGAAGGAGGGCCAGGGAAAUUCGUUUAGUUCAUCCGAGAAGGGACCUAAUAUCAUCUUUUCAAGUCUUGACCUUGUACUAGGGACAGAUACUAAUUCUGAAAGAGAGGGGCAUCUCACAAUAAUAAGAUAUUUUAGGGCACCUUCAACUACAUUAAUGCUAGUUAGAUUAAGGCAAUCACUCACUUCUAGUUCCUCAAGAACUAUACCAAUGGUCAGAAAUUUCAAGCCCGGGCAGUUAUCUAGGUUCAAAGUUUUCGAAGACAAAGAAUUGGUUUCCAAGAGCUCGUCAAUUAGAUAGUACACAUUUGAUGGAGAGCCUCCAUUUCUGUCCCUGAUACUCCUCAGCCGUAGAUUCACUAGAGAGCUAAUCUUCCUGCUCAUUGUUUCUAGGAUCUUGCUACUGUCCAGAUUUGUGAUAACCAACUCCCUAAGUUUAGAAAAUAAAAACAGGGUAUUUGGAAUCAUUCUCAACUUUGAACAACGCUCAAUUUUCAGUACCUCAAGUUUUGGAAAUACUGGCACCAUAUUUUGGUCUUCAUUGCCAGUGGAGAUAUUUGGUCUUCAUCGCCAGUGGAAACGAGUGUUGUUAAUGAUGGAUACAUCGUUGCAACUGUUUUUACAGACCCCCUGUAACUCAAACCACUACUAGUGCUAGCUAGACCUCCACAGAAAUCUCUCCCGAUAACUUUGAGAUUGUGCAUUCCAAAUAUUACAAUCUCCCUCAGUUUAGGAAGGUGACUCAAUGGUGGCAAUGCAUCACAAUUGUUACAAUCUUUCAAUGUGAUUUUCACCAAGUUCAUCAUCAUUGUAAUCCAUGAUGCAAAUUUCCGUCCCUUAAAGGAGACAACUGACAGUUCUUUCAAAUAUGUGUGAGGUCUUAAUCCUUCAAUCACAUCCUCGUUGUUGUAUUCUUUACCUUUCCUUUCAUCUUCGUUGUUGCUCCAGUCUAAGGGUAAACACUGAAUGUUAGAUUUUUCACAAAGCUUUGCUUUACUUGUUUCUUCCAUAUUUGACACAUCACUAAGACCAUAGAGAUCAAGUGUACCACCAAGAUUUUUAAGCCCUUCCGAUUGGCUAAGGAGACAAUUUCGUUUUCUACUGACAACAAAAUGAGGAAGUGUUUGAAGACAAGUCAAUCUUUGUAUCCCAAUAAACAUGUAUCUUGUGGAUAACUCUUCUGCAUAUUUCUUCUGAACAACAAGAUGCCUCAAGUUAAUAAGGUUGCAGACCUUCUCUGGAAGCUCAUUUAGAGCCCAAAUUCUCAAAGUUUGCAAGUUAUAGAGUUUCGUGAUGUAAUUUGGCAAUUUAUAGCUCUUGAAUCCGACAGAACUUGAGAUAUCAAGAUGUUUAAGGAAUUUCAUAUUCCCCAUUGAACUUGGCAACUCUUUAUAAUGUGAGUUCAAAACCAACACUCUCAGUUGCUUUAGGCUGGGUAACACGACACCGAGUACACAAGCCUGUGCAUACAGUGCUUGUAUAGAAUUGAAGUACACCGUAGAAAUCUUGUCAAAGGAUUUAUGAAUAGUCUUGAUCUUAUUAGCCACCUUAAAACGAUUUAAUAUGUUGUUUUUAGAAGGAACAAAGAAGUCCCUUACCCUGUGAUGAUUUUCCACCUUUUGUCGAAUAAUUUCAUAAGCAAGUUGAUCCAUAAAAACAUCAGCCACAUGUGCCACAGCUUUGAGUUUGCUGAACCAGGUUUGGACAGAAGACAUAUCUAGUUUCUUGGUAUAAGUAUCGGACAGGAGAGCAUCGAUAGAUUCCAGCCUUUCGCGCAGUGUCAACAGAUCUUCAGAAAGAUUCCAGGCCUGAAUAACUUUUUCAGUAGCAAGUGAAAUAAGCUUGCGAACCAGUCCGCUGGCUAGAUCAGCUACAAAUGCAUCAGCCAUCCUUCUAUCAAUUUCAGUUACCUGAUUAUAUCAUGAAUAUUUACAUGUAAAAAGAUUAGUAUUUGGGUAGUAAUGGUGUCUUCUUCAACUUUGGGCUAUCAAAAGUCAGAUGUAAUAUUAUUAUUGAAUUCUUUAUGCCCUCUUUGUCACAACUUUGAGCUACCAAGUGGUGAGUUGAAUAGAAAUUUAUCAAGUGGGGAAAGCUGAGGGCAAAGAAAGCCAAUCCAGCUAAAAGUCAAUAGCCUCCUAGAAGAUGGCAUCUUUACUCUUUACAUGCCAGGUGAGAAUCUUGAUCGACUAAAUCUAUAUUUAUAUUCAUUUAUUUUAUCGAAUUUAGAUUAGAUUAAUACUGGAUUUUUUACGGGCCGAUCCGAAUCCGUUGGAGACGGAGAUCUCGAACUCCACUCUGUAUGAUUUAUUUUAUUUUAAAGAAAAUUGAGUAGUUAUAAAAUUAUAAAAGACCAUUUAUCGUUUACAAUUGAACAAAACUUAAACCAAAAAUAUUUAAAAAGAAAAAUAAUAAAUGUAAAUUGAUGGUCAAUAUAGAUUCGAGAAUAUAAAUGAAAAAAAGCAUGAAAAUUGAGAAUGUAAAAUCUCUGAUGAGACUAUUUUGGAGCAAGUCUAUUGUCCUAAUAUAAAAAAAUGCUUGAUACCCAGACGACAGAAAACUUAGUUUCUCUUAUUUUUAUCUGUCGAAAAAGUACUUACUACAUUAUUACAUCUUUGAAGAAAGCAUUUGUAUCAGAAGUAUCCUUGACAUUUUCCAACUCUAUUGUAGCAUCAUCUUGUUCUUUGUUGUAAACAAAAAGGUUUGCAGCCAGAAGAAAAAACAAGAGGUUAAUAAAGCUCAAAACAGCAUAAAAUGUGUAGAAAUAGUCCAAGCGAGACACAUUCAAGUUGUCCAAAAAAUCCAGCCCUUGUGACCAUCCCUCUUAGUGAAAUCAGACACAGUUGUUAGAAUAAAACUGCUUAGAAAAUUCCCCAUACUCAAGCUAGUUGUAUAAUAGGCUGUGCCGAAGCUUUUCAUACUUUUCGGAGCUUGAUCAUAGAAGAAUUCAAGUCUCCCCACCUCCCAAAAUGUAUCAGCCACCCCCAUCAGGGCAUAUUGAGGAAGUAAUAUGAAUAUGCUGAGCGGAACAAUUUGAUUUUUCUUUGUAAUGCCAUGAUCUUCAAUCACAUUUAAUCGCUUCCGUUCACAAACUGAAGCAAUGAUCAUGAUGAUGACAUGCAUUACUAGGCCUAUUCCCAUUCUUUGCAGCAUUGGGAUCCCUCUUGGAUUUUUGGUGUAGCUUCGAAGCGUGGGAACCAGGAAUUUAUCAUAGAUCACAACAGUGAUCAGCAUAAAGAUUGUUAUGAAUGCUACAAGAGAUGCCGGGGGAAUACUGAAAUGAGGACCUAUGCUUCUAACAAGAGUGGUACCUUGCUUGAUGAAGAGUGUGUGUCCUUGAGCUAUCAGGGUGCUAGGUAAGAAUGAUACUAAUAAGAUUGGCACCAUUUUUACCAUUUGUUUUGUUUCUUCAACUUCAGUCACUGUGCACAGCAUCCAGUGAGGGCUCCGUCCAUCCACAACAGCUGCUUUAUCUAGUAUUCUGUGUAAAAGCAAAUGAUAGCUAAAACUUAAAAGUCGUACUUAGUGCACAAGACUCCGGUGUCAAAAGUAAAAAAGGAAACAGAGGACUAUAAACCUCUUCUUUGAUGAAUAAGAAAUACGACCUUAGUAAAGGAGAGUGUUCAAUUCUAUACUUUCCAGGUUUGGAAUAUUCAUCCAAAUUCAACUCAUGUAGUUCUUUUGGAUCAUCCGGGACAACCAACUUCCAUUUUCUAAUAGUGGCUAUAAGAACUCUAGCCAUCUUGGUCAAUGGGCUUCCAGAUGCAGGUUGGUGCCUAUAAUAAGGUGAGCCUGCUAGAAACACCAAUAUUGAUAAAAAGAGUCCGAUUGUUGGAAGACCAUAUCCAAGUCCCCAGCCUGCAUGAUCUUGUAUAUAGACUAGGAAAGUGCUGGCAAAAAGUGUGCCGAAGAAGAUACUAAAGACCCACCAAUUAAAGAAUGAUAUCUUCUGGGUUUUUUCGGUUGGCUCAAAUUCAUCAAAUUGAUCUGCACCCAUCGUUGAGAUGUUGGGCUUUGUCCCUCCAGUUCCGAGUGCAAUUAUGUACAAUGCACAGUAGAAAAUACCCACUUGAAAAGGUGAAGCUUGCUUGUUACAGUCCACGUCUGUUAUACUGUCACCGCAUGAUGGUGGCCGGAGAGAUUUUAAUGAAACUACUAGUGUCAGCAAGGACAUGCCCUGUUACACAACAAAUAUUUGAGCCCAGGCAAAGCAAUCAAAACGUAUACGUGAAACUUGCAAGCAAUUUUAUGUUUUCAUACCCCAAGAUAGAUGAAGGCUGAAAUGAUGAAAGUCCAGUAACGGCCAAGAUGAGCAUCCGCGAUGUAGGCACCUAGAAUGGGUGUCAGCCAGACAGUGCCAACCCAGUUGGUGACAUUGUUUGAAGACUUCACGGUGCCUUCAUGUAAUUUUCUUGUGAGAUAUAGCACUAGAUUUGUUGAUAUUCCAUAAAAUGCCAUCCUCUCAAAUGCUUCAUACCCUUCAAAAUCAUUCAUUAUACGAAAUAAAUUAGAAUAUCAAGCUGAAACUAUGUUCUUCACCUUAAUACAAAAUAGUACAUGAGUUGAAUGUGGUAAAUGUUCUAUUGGAUGAUAUCAGAAUUAUCAAAAGAAGCAAUAGAAUCUUGUUGACAUACCGACAAUGAAGGAGGUUGCUCUCCAUCUCCCUGUGUUUGAUCUUAACACAGGAUUACCCUUGAGGUCAACUGUUCCAUCUUUGGUGUACUCAUCAUCCCCUCUCGUCUUGCCAUUCUCUUCGACUACUCUUUCCAUUGUCAUUGUCAUCUCCCUGUGUUUGAUCUGAACACAGUUGAACGUGCAGCUCGAGUUUAUACUAGACAACCUCUGUCUACCUGCAUAUACAGUUAGCUACAAAUGAAAUGGUGGAUAAUAAUUGAAUCAUUAACAGUCUAACACUGAAGUCAGUUUUUAUAUCUGAAAUUCAACCCUUUUCUUAUCUAAAAUAUUCAUGCUGGUAAAAGAACAAAUACAAGUGUCCAGUAUCUGGGAGAGCUUUCAGUGCUUCCAAAUCAAUUCAUGCCCGAUCUGCAUGCGAGGAAUAUGUUGUAUCUUAAACCAUUCUGGCCCACUCUCCCUCCUGCAUCUUUCUUCUAGAAUAGUACAUUGAAAUAUUUUCAGGUACUGAAGGCUAUGUGACUCGUGAAACGUAGGCAAACUCUUCAAAUUAUUACAAUUCCAAAUACGUAACCGCUCAAGAGAUGGAAGCUUUGCCAGUGAUUCUGGAAGAGAUUUCACUCCUUCGAAAUCAUUUAUGUACAACAGAGUCAAUGCAGGGAACGUAGAGUAGAGACGAUCAUCAAGCUCCCCAUCCAGAAGUAUUGACCUAACCUUCUUCCGACCGAACAGGGUCAGUGAGGUCAGUUUAGGAAACCAAAUUACAGAAGAGAAGGAGGGCCAUGGAAAUUCGUUUAGUUCAUCCGAGAAGGGACCUAAUAUCAUCUUUUCAAGUCUUGACCUUGUACCAGGGACAAAUACUAAUUCUGAAAGAGAGGGGCAUCUCACAAUAAUAAGAUACUAGUAUGUUUGCCUGCUCCGGGCAUUCUAAAUUAAUAUUUUUUUAAAAAAUAUGUUUGCUUAAAUUUGUAUUUGAUUAGAAUUGAGAUUUUUUGUUUGUGGAUGAAAAUUAUUUUAUAUUUGUUUUUUCUAUUUCUUGUUUAAAUCUAAAUUAAAUUCUAAGCUGAAAAAUAUCUGAUAAUAGAGAUAAUCUCGUUCUUUCAAUUUUUGGUACGAUAUGUUUGUCCCAAAUAUAUAUAACUAUAAAUUUAAUUUAUUGAACUUAAAUAUUACAGAAAAUAGUAUAGACAUUUGUAUUGUAUUUUAAAAUUAGUAAUGCAAGACCCAAAUAUUAGUUGUUUUUCAUUAUAAAAUAAAAAAUGAGUUGUUUUAAAAAUUUGAAACUAGCCAUCAAUAUCUAUGCCAAAAAUCACAAUGAAUUCUCUCCGAAAAAUCAUAGCCUACACAAUGAAUUCGAAGUCUCAGACAUGUUAAGGCGUUAUGGUUGGAUUGUGCCAGCUUACACCAUGCCUCCUGAUGCCCAACAUGUUACUGUGCUUCGUGUAGUUAUCCGCGAGGACUUUUCAAAAACUCUGACUGAACGCCUGGUUACAAAUAUCAAGCAGGUCCUCGAGGAGCUUGACACACUCCCAAGUAAGGUGACACAGAAGUUGACAACUGAGGUGGACAACGGCAAGGCUGUGAAGAAAAGCUGAAGUCCCAUUCCAGUUCCAGGUAAAGAAAUGGGGCAAUGAACCCACCGCUAGCAGCGUGCACAUGAAUUGGUGUAUCCCAUCUAUCAAAAGAAAUGAAAUAGAUAAAAGAUGGUCCUAUAAUCCAGCAACUCAUCAAAUGAUAUGUAUUAAUGAGCAAGACAGUGGAUUACCCAGUUUCUGCAUUUUUCUUAACCAAGAGGUCAUUUAAGAGCUAACAUCUUCAAAUUCUCCAUUAAGAGUGGAUCCUAGAAUAGCUGCAACACAAAUGGUGUUCUCAUCCACCAUUUCUGCAGCCUUUUCAGGGUCCAUCACAUAGUAGCUGUCUCUCAACUUGACCUCCUUCAGCUCCACUUCAAAUUACCUUGCAAAAAUGGUGGAUUAAUUUCUUGUUUAAUACAUGGAUCUAGUCAAUCUGGAUUAUUGACAUACAUUGAACCCGGUCCAUUUGAAUGAUUAUAAACCAAAAAAAAAGUAAAUCAACUUGAUGAAGUCUAAAUGAGGCAAACCUAAAUGUACUCCAAUGAAACCAGAUCAUGCAUUGAGUGAAAAUUGAUGGAACACGUGAAAUUAAUUCAUGUUAAUCAGAAGAAGUAAAACAUAAUCUAGGACUUUAUAUAAAAAGCUAUAGAAAUUAAGAUCAAUAGGCUUGUUCUGUAAGAUCUCAUAAGAUCCUCUACAUUUUCCCCAUUUCAAAAGAUUAUAAUUCAUUUGAUUGCUUAUUAUUUCCGACACUAAAACACCAAAGCUACUUUCACCAGGCUAGAUAGAAAAUUUGAAACUUUGCAUACCGAUAGAGUCAUUUACGUAAAUUCAACAUGUUUAAUGUGUUGAAGAAUUCCAAGCCUGAAAGAACACAACACGAUCAAAUGUGAUUAUUCUUUAAGCAUUAAUAUCUAAGUAGACCUUAAAAUCCCAAACUUUGCCGUAUCAAUAUCCUAUAUCAGGGGCAGAGCCACUUGGAUCCCUGGUACUCCAUGGCUACCCUGUAUCAAGGGCGGAGCUACAUGGAGCCGUAUAUAGAGUUUCUAUGUUAUUUGUUUUGGUAAAAUUAGUUAGUUGAUCUUUGAGAAGCAAAAAAGAUGAGAGUUGCAACUGUAUCAAAAAAGCAGAUGAAAGAUUGAUUAUUAAUAUAGGAAUAUAUAUUUUGUUCAGUACAGAUCUCAUGAUUGUACGACUGAAAGGAAAAGACACGGGCAACUUAAUUCAUGAAUUAAAGGUAUAUGCAUUCAUUAUGUUAAAAAUACUUCCUUUGAUUGUCUGUGCCAUUUUUUACUAUCAAAUAGAGCAGUUUUCAUGUUAUAACAGUUUCAACAGAAGUUUUUACCUGCACAAUAGCUGGUGAAGACACGUUACCUUCCUUUAUCGCCGCUAAUUUUAGCAACUCUCCGCACAUAUUAUGAGGACCAUCAGAUCUGUCUAUGCAACUGUAAAAAUGUAUUAUAGAAUAAUCAGAAUAUGUGUGAUCCGUAGGGCCAGUGGUUCCAUUAAAAAUCUAUAGUCAUAGUAGAUGCUACCUGCAGCCUGCAAAUUUGAGGGCCAGUGGCCCCUUCUCACUCUGACAUGUACCACAUCCUUCAGUUUCUCUUCAUCCUUAUCACUGCUUUUCGAACUUUUACCCCUUCCACAGCUCUGUUUACAGUAAAUCAAAGAUAAGACCAAAAAUUCAAUUCAUUCAUAAACAGAGCAAUUAAGCUAGUAACAAUUUUUCAUAACUAAUGCAAGAUUCUACACUUAAUUUACGAUACAUUUUUUCACCUGCUUCCGCUUUCAGAAGCCUGAGGAGUUGAGUUAUCAGAACAGCUUUCAGAUUCUUGCAUGACAUUUUUAUGAUCUUCCGAAAAAUGUGGAAAAUUAUCUGCCAAGUUACCAGGGAAUUCAAGCACUUAUGUAAUGAAAUUGUCGAAAGGAAAGCCUGCCCAGCUAGUAAAAUUAGAGUUUGAGGUGUGCAUGACACUUGGAUUUAAUUGCAUGAGCUGAUUCAUGAUGAGGUCAACAUUUGGAUCAAACUCAAGCAAAGAAAAGUGGUGAGUUAAAGGUCUGCAUAUCUGAUGUGUAUUGAUACUUAAAUUCACGUAAUGCAUGACAUGUUUAACAAUUAUUAAAUUUUUAGUCACAAACGCUGGUGACGUUCUUUGAUUUUCAUCAACACUUUAAUCGACCAAUAAUAUUAAUAUUAAAGGGCUGUUUGGGCAAACUUAAAAAAAAUAAAAUUUGCUUAAGAUAAAGAAGCGGAUUAGAAUUGAAAAGUAAAUAAGUUAAUAAAGUGUUUGGAAAAGAAGCAGAAGCUGAUAAGCUAACAUCCUCAGCUUUUUAAAGGUGCUUCUACUUAUUUACACAAACGGGUCAAGAAAAACAGAAGCCAUAAGGAGUUUCUGGUUCUUGAUUACAAACAUGCCCUAAGACUGCCACAUAACAUUCAAGCUCAACUUUUGUCCCAGCUUCUGUGAUCAUUUCAUUUUCUACCGGUUUCAACUCCCGUCUGAAUAUACCAUUAAGAAAGAUAUUACGAGACUAUUUGACCGACUUUAAAAUUGUAACUACUGACUUCUGAUUUUAAAUUAAUAGUACUUCUAGAGUACAUAGUGCAUCUUGUUCCUCAUGGAGCAUUUCAGACUCCUUUGAAAUCAUAAAUGCACUAUGUACUCUAGAAGUACUUCAUCACUGAUAUUAGACAGGUGCCUAUUGUUUAUACAUUAGAGAACUAACCUUUCUGCUUAUUGUUUCCAGUACUGUGUUGCUGUCAUAUAACUCCUCAAGAACCGAAAACAUUUUUCCAGAAUCUUUGCAACUUCGGACAUCUGCUGAUUUUUAACAACUCAAGUCUCUGAAAUGCACUUUGAUCUUUACCCUAGGUACUCAUAACUGGUUAUACCCAUACUUAAAGCGUUGGCAAAUCAAAAUACAUUUCGAUGAGCACGACACAAUUGGCUUCAAAAAUCUUCCUCCCUGAUGCAAGAAGUACAUCCAAUAUAUAAUCAAAUAUGGUAGAGACCCUAAAAGAUUUCUAAAGUUAAAAUGGAUCAACUUUUUAUAGUUCUGUAUCAAUUUGGACCCAGAGCCCCAAUUAAAAUUUGCACACUGGUAAUUUUGAACCAUUUUGGGAAAAGAAAACCUUCAGCAUUGCUCUUUAUAUAAGAAGCAAAUCAUCAAUUAUUAUAUUAAUCGAAAAAGAAUACCAGUGUAUACGUGGAAUAUGUUGAAUUCUGAACCAUUCUGGCCGUCCCUUCAUAUAUUUUUCUCUCAGAAGAGGACACCCUUCCGUCUCUAGCAACUGAAGAGGAUGCGAUUUUUCAAACAGGGGCAAAGUCUUCAAAUUCUCACAAUCAAAUAUAAGUAACGUCUCGAGAGAUGGAAGCUUUGCUAUUGAAUCUGAGAGAGCUUUCACUCCUUUGAAAUUAUUUAUUCUCAAUUCAGUUAAUGCAGGGAAGGUGGAGGAGAGGCGAUUAUCAAGUUGCCCGAAUAUUGAUUCAACCUUUUUCCACCCGUCCAAUGAUAGUUUCUUUAGACUAUGAAAUGAAACCACGCAAGAAGAAGAGAAUGGCCAUGGAAAUUCAUCUAAAUCCUCUGAGAAAGGGCCUAAGCUUAGUCUAUCAAGUGUGGAACUCCUAGUUUGCGCAAAUACCCGCUCUAAGAGAGAGGAGGGGCAUUUCCAGAUCUCAAUAUCUUUUAGACCAACUGACCCUUCAACUAGAUUAAUAUUACUUGGCCGAGGACAUUUUAAACCCCCACAGUCGAUUAGCCUCAAAGAGGUCAGACACAGAGAAUUGUUCUUUAACAUCUCCUCAAUCAUAAAGUCCAUAUUUGAACAAGAAGAGGAAGAAGAUGAUGAUGAAUCUCCUCCAUUGCUGAUAUUGAGAAGUUCUAGAUGCUUGAGAGAGGCUAUGUUACUCCGACUCUUCUAUUUAGGUUGCCGUACCCGUGUCGGACACUUGGACACUCGGACACGACACUUAUUUCGUGUCGGAUCCUUUGACUAAAAUGUGGACACUUUGACCAAUUUAAAAAUCAAAUAUGAGUAAAACUUACAAUUGAAAAGAAAUAUGUGAGAAAAAAGAAAGAAGCAAAAAUGAGAUUUAAGUACAAAAGACGCUUAAUUUGCAAAAUCCCUUACAAAUUCAUGUCUAAUAUGAGUUUUAUUGUUACUUUUUGUUAAGAUGUCUAACUUACCAUACUUGUUUAUUAGUAUAUUACGAUGUGUCCCCGUACCCGUGUCCAAAAAUAGGACAGUGUCCCCGUGUCUCCAAUUUCCAUAGUUCUGAAGUCCGACACUCGAAUAUGUGUCGUGUCCGACACUCCGUACCCGAGUCCGAGUAACAUAGGAGAGAGGUAACCUUUUUGCUCAUUGUUUCCACUAUCACGCUGCUGUCCAAAUCAGUGAUUUUGAGCUCCUUCAAGGCCGGAAAACAAAUAUUUGGAAU